GGGCCCGCACAAGCAGUGGAGUAUGUGGUUUAAUUCGACGCUACGCGAAGAACCUUACCAGGUCUUGACAUCCGACUAACGAAGCAGAGAUGCAUCAGGUGCCCUUCGGGGAAAGUCGAGACAGGUGGUGCAUGGUUGUCGUCAGCUCGUGUCGUGAGAUGUUGGGUUAAGUCCCGCAACGAGCGCAACCCUUGCCGAUAGUUACUACGAAAGAGGACUCUAUCGGGACUGCCGUUGACAAAACGGAGGAAGGUGGGGACGACGUCAAAUCAUCAUGCCCCUUAUGACCUGGGCUACACACGUACUACAAUGGCCGUUCACAGAGGGACGCUAAGCCGCGAGGUGGCGCAAAACCCUAAAAACGGUCUCAGUUCAGAUUGCAGGCUGCAACCCGCCUGCAUGAAGUCGGAAUUGCUAGUAAUCGCGGAUCAGCAUGCCGCGGUGAAUACGUUCCCGGGCCUU
rnacentral:rRNA from 1 species